rnacentral:lncRNA from 1 species
GGCGCUGUCGCAUUUUAUCCAUUCUUUCUUUCUCCAAAAGAAUAGGAAUCUCUCUCGCUAGCAUUGCGAUCGACAUAAACUAUACAUAUGCUUGAGGUCAGAAAACUCUUCUUUUCUUGUGUUCUUAGAUCUUAUUUCCUUCCUUGUGCUUUGAAGUUGGAGCUCCAAAGGAAGGUCACAAGAGAUAGAAUCAAAACUAAAGAGCAUCGGCCUCUAGAACAAACUAUCGAAAAUUUUCGUCAAUCAGGCAAGCUACUGCGGCCUUUCUUCCAUGCAAAUGCCAUUCCUCCCUGACGAUUCUUAUGCAAAUUUGCCAGCAGCACGUAAGCUCCUGGAGAAUCCCGCUUGCACACGUCCAAGUUCUCGACCACCGUGUUGCCGGCCUCCACCGAGCUUCUGAGGUAGCUCCUCCACUCGACUCCAUCGG